rnacentral:rRNA from 1 species
AGUCGAGGGGUAACAGGAAAGCUUGCUUUUGCUGACGACCGGCGCACGGGUGCGUAACGCGUAUGCAACCUACCUCAUACAGGAGGAUAGCCCUUGGAAACGAGGAUUAAUACUCCAUGGUAUCACGAAUUCGCAUGUUUUUGUGAUUAAAGUUUUUCGGUAUGAGAUGGGCAUGCGUCCCAUUAGCUUGUUGGUGAGGUAACGGCUCACCAAGGCGACGAUGGGUAGGGGGCCUGAGAGGGUGGUCCCCCACACUGGUACUGAGACACGGACCAGACUCCUACGGGAGGCAGCAGUGAGGAAUAUUGGUCAAUGGAGGCAACUCUGAACCAGCCAUGCCGCGUGAAGGAUGACGGCCCUAUGGGUUGUAAACUUCUUUUAUAUGGGAAGAAACUUGUCUACGUGUAGACAACUGACGGUACCAUACGAAUAAGGAUCGGCUAACUCCGUGCCAGCAGCCGCGGUAAUACGGAGGAUCCAAGCGUUAUCCGGAUUCAUUGGGUUUAAAGGGUCCGUAGGCGGAUUUUUAAGUCAGUGGUGAAAGCCGACAGCUCAACUGUCGAACUGCCAUUGAUACUGGAAAUCUUGAGUACAAAUGAAGUAGGCGGAAUGAGUCAUGUAGCGGUGAAAUGCAUAGAUAUGACUCAGAACACCGAUUGCGAAGGCAGCUUACUAACAUGUAACUGACGCUGAGGGACGAAAGCGUGGGGAGCGAACAGGAUUAGAUACCCUGGUAGUCCACGCCGUAAACGAUCAUCACUCGCUGUUGGCGAUAUACUGUCAGCGGCCAAGCGAAAGUAUUAAGUGAUGCACCUGGGGAGUACGCCGGCAACGGUGAAACUCAAAGGAAUUGAC